GGGCGAUUAGCUCAGCUGGUUAGAGCGCUUGCUUUACACGCAAGAAGUCAGAGGUUCGAGUCCUCUAUCGCCCACCA
rnacentral:tRNA from 1 species